GAAUUGAUCUGGUUCAGAACGAACGCUGGCGGCGCGUCUAAGCAUGCAAGUCGAACGGCAAGAGGUAGCAAUACCUCCUAGAGUGGCGGACUGGUGAGUAACACGUGGGUGACAUACCCUUCAGAUGGGGAUAGCUAUUAGAAAUAGUAGAUAAUACCGAAUACGAGCACAGGGGUUAGAGAUCUGUGAGGAAAGGAGCUAAGGCUCCGCUGAAGGAAUGGCCUGCGGCCCAUUAGCUAGUUGGUGAGGUAAGAGCCCACCAAGGCGAUGAUGGGUAUCCGGCCUUAGAGGGUGAACGGACACAUUGGGACUGAGAUACGGCCCAGACUCCUACGGGAGGCAGCAGCUAAGAAUAUUCCGCAAUGGACGAAAGUCUGACGGAGCGACGCCGCGUGGAUGAAGAAGGCCGGAAGGUUGUAAAAUCCUUUUGAAACUGAAGAAUAAGCGUUGUAGGGAAUGACAGCGUGGUGACAGUAGGUUUUGAAUAAGCAACGGCUAAUUACGUGCCAGCCGCGGC
rnacentral:rRNA from 1 species